rnacentral:lncRNA from 1 species
UGCCGACUAUGUGCUGUCCUCACCUAUCUCAGUCAUGGUCCAAGUCCAGUGUGGCCCACAUACACUUUGAGCAGCCGUUAUCCAAGUUGUAAAUAUUAUUAUUUUGCACUUUUCCAGCCAGGGCAGUUAUACAUCCCUUAGGAGCGGUUAGCACAGUGACAUCCUCCAGAGUACACGUGUGCACAGGGCCAAAAUUCAGCUUGCUUGGCACGUGACAUUUUCUGGCCUCCACAACGAACAUUAGAUUAGACCCACUUGAAUCAGGGUUAUCACGGAUGCAUACUUUUCUAAAACUUGAUGC